AGAACGAACGCUGGCGGCAUGCCUAAUACAUGCAAGUCGAACGAACACUUCGGUGUUAGUGGCGCACGGGUGCGUAACGCGUGGGAAUCUGCCCUUGGGUUCGGAAUAACAGUUGGAAACGACUGCUAAUACCGGAUGAUAUCGAAAGAUCAAAGAUUUAUCGCCCAGGGAUGAGCCCGCGUAGGAUUAGCUAGUUGGUGAGGUAAAGGCUCACCAAGGCGACGAUCCUUAGCUGGUCUGAGAGGAUGAUCAGCCACACUGGGACUGAGACACGGCCCAGACUCCUACGGGAGGCAGCAGUAGGGAAUAGUUGGACAAUGGGCGCAAGCCUGAUCCAGCAAUGCCGCGUGAGUGAUGAAGGCCUUAGGGUUGUAAAGCUCUUUACCCGAGAUGAUAAUGACAGUAUCGGAAGAAUAAGCCCCGGACUAACUCCGUGCCAGCAGCCG
rnacentral:rRNA from 1 species